CGGUGAGUAUACAUCGGAACGUGUCUUCUAGUGGGGGAUAACUGCCCGAAAGGGCAGCUAAUACCGCAUGAGACCUGAGGGUGAAAGCGGGGGAUCGCAAGACCUCGCGCUGGAAGAGCGGCCGAUGUCCGAUUAGCUAGUUGGUGAGGUAAAGGCUCACCAAGGCGACGAUCGGUAGCUGGUCUGAGAGGACGACCAGCCACACUGGGACUGAGACACGGCCCAG
rnacentral:rRNA from 1 species